rnacentral:rRNA from 1 species
UCGUGCCGUGAGGUGUCAGGUUAAGUCCUAUAACGAGCGCAACCCACAUCCUUAGUUGCCAGCAGUUCGGCUGGGCACUCUAGGGAAACUGCCCGUGAUAAGCGGGAGGAAGGUGUGGAUGACGUCAAGUCCUCAUGGCCCUUACGGGUUGGGCUACACACGUGCUACAAUGGCAUCAACAAUGGGUUAAUCCCCAAAAGAUGUCUCAGUUCGGAUUGGGGUCUGCAACUCGACCCCAUGAAGUCGGAAUCGCUAGUAAUCGCGUAACAGCAUGACGCGGUGAAUACGUUCCCGGGCCUU